AGUGAACGCUGGCGGUAGGCCUAACACAUGCAAGUCGAACGGCAGCACCGUAAGAGCUUGCUCUUACGGGUGGCGAGUGGCGGACGGGUGAGGAAUACAUCGGAAUCUACUUUUUCGUGGGGGUUCACGUAGGUAAACUUACUCUAAUACCGCAUACGACCUACGGGUGAAAGCAGUGGAUCUUCGCACCUUGCGCGAUUGAAUGAGCCGAUGUGGGAUUAGCUAGUUGGCGGGGUAAAGGCCCACCAAGGCGGCGAUCCGUAGCUGGUCUGAGAGGAUGAUCAGCCACACUGGAACUGAGACACGGUCCAGACUCCUACGGGAGGCAGCAGUGGGGAAUAUUGGACAAUGGGCGCAAGCCUGAUCCAGCCAUACCGCGUGGGUGAAGAAGGCCUUCGGGUUGUGAAGCCCUUUUGUUGGGAAAGAAAAGCAGCAGGUUAAUACCCCGCUGUUCUGACGGUACCCAAAGAAUAAGCACAGGCUAACUUCGUG
rnacentral:rRNA from 1 species